GCAUGCAGGCGGUUUGUUAAGCGAGAUGUGAAAGCCCCGGGCUCAACCUGGGAACUGCAUUUCGAACUGGCAAACUAGAGUUCUUGAGAGGGUGGUAGAAUUUCAGGUGUAGCGGUGAAAUGCGUAGAGAUCUGAAGGAAUACCAGUGGCGAAGGCGGCCACCUGGCAAGUAACUGACGCUCAGAUGCGAAAGCGUGGGUAGCAAACGGGAUUAGAUACCCCGGUAGUCCACGCCGUAAACGAUGUCUACUCGGAGUUUGGUUCCUUGAGAACUGGGCUCUUAAGCUAACGCAUUAAGUAGACCGCCUGGGGAGUACGGCCGCAAGGUUAAAACUCAAAUGAAUUGACGGGGGCCCGCACAAGCGGUGGAGCAUGUGGUUUAAUUCGAUGCAACGCGAAGAACCUUACCUACUCUUGACAUCCACAGAACCUGUCAGAGAUGAAUUGGUGCCUUCGGGAACUAUGAGACAGGUGCUGCAUGGCUGUCGUCAGCUCGUGUUGUGAAAUGUUGGGUUAAGUCCCGCAACGAGCGCAACCCUUAUCCUUAUUUGCCAGCACGUAAUGGUGGGAACUCUAAGGAGACUGCCGGUGAUAAACCGGAGGAAGGUGGGGACGACGUCAAGUCAUCAUGGCCCUUACGAGUAGGGCUACACACGUGCUACAAUGGCGCAUACAAAGGGCUGCAAACCAGCGAUGGUAAGCGAAUCCCAUAAAGUGCGUCGUAGUCCGGAUUGGGGUCUGCAACUCGACCCCAUGAAGUCGGAAUCGCUAGUAAUCGUGAAUC
rnacentral:rRNA from 1 species